CCUACGGGAGGCAGCAGUGAGGAAUAUUGGUCAAUGGGCGAGAGUCUGAACCAGCCAAGUAGCGUGAAGGAUGACUGCCCUAUGGGUUGUAAACUUCUUUUAUAUGGGAAUAAAAUGUUCCACGUGUGGGAUUUUGUAUGUACCAUAUGAAUAAGGAUCGGCUAACUCCGUGCCAGCAGCCGCGGUAAUACGGAGGAUCCGAGCGUUAUCCGGAUUUAUUGGGUUUAAAGGGAUCGUAGGUGGAUUGUUAAGUCAGUUGUGAAAGUUUGCGGCUCAACCGUAAAAUUGCAGUUGAAACUGGCAGUCUUGAGUACAGGAGAGGUGGGCGGAAUUCGUGGUGUAGCGGUGAAAUGCUUAGAUAUCACGAAGAACUCCGAUUGCGAAGGCAGUUCACUGGACUGCAACUGACACUGAGGCUCGAAAGUGUGGGUAUCAAACAGGAUUAGAUACCCGAGUAGUC
rnacentral:rRNA from 1 species